GGAUGCGAUCAUACCAGCACUAAAGCACCGGAUCCCAUCAGAACUCCGCAGUUAAGGUGCUUGGGCGAGAGUAGUACUAGGAUGGGUGACCCCCUGGGAAGUCCUCGUGUUGCAUCCC
rnacentral:rRNA from 1 species